rnacentral:rRNA from 1 species
GAUGAACGCUGGCGGCGUGCCUAAUACAUGCAAGUCGAGCGAACAGACGAGGAGCUUGCUCCUCUGAUGUUAGCGGCGGACGGGUGAGUAACACGUGGAUAACCUACCUAUAAGACUGGGAUAACUUCGGGAAACCGGAGCUAAUACCGGAUAACAUGUUGAACCGCAUGGUUCAACAGUGAAAGACGGUCUUGCUGUCACUUAUAGAUGGAUCCGCGCCGCAUUAGCUAGUUGGUAAGGUAACGGCUUACCAAGGCAACGAUGCGUAGCCGACCUGAGAGGCGGAUCGGCCACACUGGAACUGAGACACGGUCCAGACUCCUACGGUAGGCAGCAGUAGGGAAUCUUCCGCAAUGGGCGAAAGCCUGACGGAGCAACGCCGCGUGAGUGAAGAAGGUCUUCGGAUCGUAAAACUCUGUUAUUAGGGAAGAACAAAUGUGUAAGUAACUAUGCACGUCUUGACGGUACCUAAUCAGAAAGCCACGGCUAACUACGUG